UUCCUUCUGUUGCUUGUCACUUGUUUUCCUCUAAUUCGAGUUCGAUUGUUUUGGCUUCUGUGGUUUUGGUUUCGUUUGCUCCCUCUCCCUUUUUCUCUGUUGUUCUCUCUCCCUCUCUCUCCCAGAAACCCUUCGUUCUCCAUUUGCCGUUAUCGUCCAACUCCGAUUUAGCUACCCUUCGUCAACUCCAUCUACUUUAAUUUUCCUGCAUAGCUUUCUCUCCGAAGCUCCAAAUUCUUGGCCAAACAGAACAGCGAACUUCCCGGUGGUCACCAGCUCCAGUUCGAGGAUAAGAAGCACUCGGUCAACGACGUCCCCGACGCCAAGAUUUCUUAAGGAAACGUUGGUCUUCGAAUAUUGGGGUUUUUGUCUGCAAGUUUGCAAGGCUGCAAGCCCUUUGUGAUCAACUUCCAUGGGAUCUGCCCUAUGUUGUUACUUCGCGGUUACCUCCGUUGAGGUUGAAAAAUGAGCUCAGAUCUUGACCGGAUCAUUGCAUAUGUACUAAUUCGUCUGAUUCCGACCGUUGGUAUAGGAACUAAUGGCAGUGUUUUCCCCUGCACUGAUGGCGUUAAUACUUGCAGCCUAAAUGUCAUUCAUCUAGAGGAAAAGGAAAAAAGCUAAAGGGAGAUGCGGAACCAAAUUAUCGAGGAAGCUGAAGAAUUUAAGCGGGCCUUCUAUGAGAAACGGAAGCUCAAUUGUGAAACUAACAAAGCUCACAACAGAGAGAGGGAGAAGCUGUACCUGGCCAACCAAGAGAAGUUCCACAAAGAAGCUGACAAAUGAUUCCUCGUGAGGUUCCUAAUAUUGAGAAGAAGAGAGGGUAGAAAGAUCCUGACAAGCAACCCCCAAUUGUUUUCACCAGGGCCCAAAACCUGGUAAACCGACUGAUCUUUCAAGGAUGCGGUAGAUUUUCCUGAAGUUGAAACAGAACCCUCCGCCACACAUGAUGCUGCCCCCACCUGCCAAAGAUGGCAAGGAUGCAAAGGGAGAAAAAGAAGGAAAGGAUGUAAAGGAUUCAAAGGAUGGAAAGGAUACAAAAGAUGCAAAAGGAGAAAAGGAGGAAAGGAUGCAAAGGAAGGAAAGGAUGCGAAGAAUGGAAAAAUUAAUUCACCAACCGCAGCUGGAGCUGCAGCUGCAAGUGCCCCUGUUUUAUCAAAACCAGAGGCUCCUGCUGAACCAGAGGGUGAGCAACAUUCGGAAACCACGCUAACUCCUACAGAGUAAUGAUCCUUCAUUUUUUUGUUUUUUUUUUUGGUUCUUUACAUAAUCUUUGAGUCUAAUGCAUAGAAAUUUACUAUGAAGAAGAAGAAUAAACACAAUCAGUCUGCAGAAUGGAAUGUAUAGACUGCAGAGUUUUCUUCCAAACUUCCUCUAGGGUUUUGCAGGCUUUGCUUCGUAAGCAAAACCACCUUCAUCGAAUUCAAUGCUAUGGCAUUUAUUUUUUGAA